GCCGGUAUGGUGGAAUUGGUAGACAGAAAUGACUUAAAAUCAUUUGAUCGUAAGGUCGUGCGAGUUCAAGUCUCGCUGCCGGUA
rnacentral:tRNA from 1 species